rnacentral:lncRNA from 1 species
GAUUUUUUAGAUACUAUUUUAAAUGGUAAAACAAAGGCCGGGCGCAGGGGCUCACACCUGUAAUCCCAGCACUUUGGGAGGCCAAGGAGGACAGAUCACUCAAGGUCAGGAGUUCGAGACCAGACUGGCCAAUAUGGUGCAACCCCGCCUCACUAAAAUAUAAAAAUUAGCCAGGUUUGGUGGCACGCACCUGUAGUCCCAGAUACUCGGGAGGCUGAGGAAGGAGAAUCGCCUGAACCCAGGAGGUGGAGGUUGCUGUGAGCUAAGAUCACCCCACUGAACUCUAGCCUGGGCUACAGAGCAAGACUCCCUCUCAAAAAAAAAAAAAAAAAAGGUAAAACAAAAUGAGUUCAAAAUUCAAUUUUCAGUUUUUAUUUUGUUUCUAACCAAAAUAUCCUAUUUUAUGUUAUUUUAUGUAUUUCAUAAUAUACUGCCUUGAUUAGAAAACGUUAUUCAAAUAAUGUCAGUUCUAACUCACUUCUUUUUCCAACUAUGAAUGUUAAGGCUUCAAAGUUGCUGCAUUAAAAUAUUUUAAAGU